rnacentral:lncRNA from 1 species
AAUUUCACAGGAUUGUCAGUAAGAUGGAUGUUGGAGAGUGAGUAACUUGCUGGAGAUUGAAAUCAUUCUGACAUGUGGCAUAUUGAUCUCAUUACUGGGUCAACCGCUUUAAGUUUCUUCAAGAAGCCCUGAUGCAAGUAAAAGCACUUUAAUCCAAGCCCAGCAGUAUCUGAUUGACCAUCUGAAGAUCUUACCCCACUCUACACGUCUUUUUUCAAGCCCUGGUCAGUCAAACCAGAGGACACACUGCAGGUU